CCUACGGGAGGCAGCAGUGGGGAAUAUUGGGCAAUGGGCGCAAGCCUGACCCAGCAACGCCGCGUGAAGGAAGAAGGCUUUCGGGUUGUAAACUUCUUUUCUCAGGGACGAAUCAAUGUACGGUAACUGAGGAAUAAGCCACGGCUAACUACGUGCCAGCAGCCGCGGUAAUACGUAGGUGGCAAGCGUUAUCCGGAUUUACUGGGUGUAAAGGGCGUGUAGGCGGGAUUGCAAGUCAGAUGUGAAAGCCACGGGCUCAACCUUGGGCAUGCAUUUGAAACUGUAGUUCUUGAGUACUGGAGAGGCAGACGGAAUUCCUAGUGUAGCGGUGAAAUGCGUAGAUAUUAGGAGGAACACCAGUGGCGAAGGCGGUCUGCUGGACAGCAACUGACGCUGAGGCGCGAAAGCGUGGGGAGCAAACAGGAUUAGAUACCCUGGUAGUC
rnacentral:rRNA from 1 species